CGGCGGUUCAAGACUGAGUUUUCUAUCUCUUCAGUGCCUCUUUCAACAAUGAAGAUCAAACCAGGUUUUGUGCAAAUAUCUGCUGAGUGAACUACUUAUUUGAAAAUACAUCAUUGGUUAAUAUUCCCUUUUGCUCAUUGAAAUCUCAAAGACUACAGACAAACUACAAUAAAGCCAUGCCCUGACUGGAUGUGCCUAACAUUUGUCUGGUGCUUAAAGGAGUUGGCUGCAUGCGUGGAAAUGUUGGAAAGUCACCAAAAAUAGUUCUCCAAGUCAGAAGCGGUGCAAAAGCUGCCUCAGCUCUUGGUGGAUUUUCAAUUUCUCCCAGCCAUCUCUGUUUCGCUAAAGGUUUCUGAAGACAGUGGAAUGCUGUUGAAGACACCACCUUGAUAAAACAAAAACAUCAGCCAAAUUAAAUUUAAAGGAGUUUAAUUGAGCAAAGAAUUAUUCAUGAAUCAAGCAGUCUUCCAAGCCAGAGUAGGCUCAAAUACUCCAGCACAGCCACGUGGUGGAAGAUUUAUGGACAAAAGAAGAAAAGUAACAUAUAGAAAAUGGAAAUGAGGGGAAGCUUUUUUCUCCUCCCCAUCCUGAUCACUAGUAUGAGAAGGGGUGCUAAUGGACCAGCCUUGGCCUUGCAGAUGAAGAUGAUGAAGGAAGAAGAUGUAUAAAGAACCUCUGAAAGAGUCCCAGUUUUACAUUUCAAAGUCUUUUUCCUUCUGUUGUUUAUUGUGUUGGGUUGGAGUGGAGGAUAUUUGAUGGAGAAUUGAUUCUGAAACUUGCCAAAAUAUGGAUAAUACUUUGCUCCUUUUCCAUUGUGGGUUAUCACAAAGAAGAGUUUCACUUUUAGUCAUCUAUUUACAGGUACGGCAAUAGCUAUUUUCUUUUUCUUUUUUUUAUUUUAGGUUUUAUUUUAGGUACAUGUGAAGGUUUCUUGUAUAGGUAAACUAGUGUCAUGUGGGAUUGUUGCACAGAUUAUUUUAUCAACCAGGUAUUAAGGAAGCUCAGUACCCAAUAGUUAUAUUUUCUGCUCCUCUCCCUCAUCCCACUCUCCACCCUGAGGUCGACCCCAGUGUCUGUUGUUUCCUUCUUUCUGUUAAUGAGUUCUCAUCAUUUAGCUCCCACUUAUAAGUGAGAACAUGUGCUAUGUGUUUUUCUGUUCCUGUGUUAGUUGGCUAAGGAUAAUGGCCUCCAGCUCCAUUUUUGUUUCCCUCUCCAGCAUCUGUUUUUUUUUUUAAUUUUUAGUAAUAUCCAUUCUGACUGGUAUGAGAUGGUAUCUCAUUGUGGUUCUGACUUGCAUUUCUGUAAUGGUCAAUGAUGUUCAGCUUUUCUUUUCAUGUGCUUGUUGCCCACAUGUAUGUUUUGUUUUGAAAAGUGUUUGUUCGUGUCCUUUAUCCACUUUUCAAUGGGGUUGUUUGCUUUUCUCUCGUAAAUUUGUUUAAUUUCCUUAUAGAUGUUAUGACCUAGCAGCUGUACCUUUUUUAAUUUCAAGACAUUCAAUAAACUAAGAACCAACAGCACA
rnacentral:lncRNA from 10 species